GAUGAACGCUGGCGGCGUGCCUAAUACAUGCAAGUCGAGCGAACAGAUGAGGAGCUUGCUCCUCUGACGUUAGCGGCGGACGGGUGAGUAACACGUGGAUAACCUACCUAUAAGACUGGGAUAACUUCGGGAAACCGGAGCUAAUACCGGAUAAUAUAUUGAACCGCAUGGUUCAAUAGUGAAAGACGGUUUUGCUAUCACUUAUAGAUGGAUCCGCGCCGCAUUAGCUAGUUGGUAAGGUAACGGUUUACCAAGGCAACGAUGCGUAGCCGACCUGAGAGGGUGAUCGGCCACACUGGAACUGAGACACGGUCCAGACUCCUACGGGAGGCAGCAGUAGGGAAUCUUCCGCAAUGGGCGAAAGCCUGACGGAGCAACGCCGCGUGAGUGAUGAAGGUCUUCGGAUCGUAAAACUCUGUUAUUAGGGAAGAACAAAUGUGUAAGUAACUAUGCACGUCUUGACGGUACCUAAUCAGAAAGCCACGGCUAACUACGUG
rnacentral:rRNA from 1 species